AACGAACGCUGGCGGCAUGCCUAACACAUGCCAGUCGAACGAGACCUUCGGGUCUAGUGGCGCACGGGUGCGUAACGCGUGGUAACCUGCCCUUAGGUUCGGAAUAACUCCCCGAAAGGGGUGCUAAUACCGGAUAAUGUCUUCGGACCAAAGAUUUAUCGCCUUUGGAUGGGCCCGCGUUCGAUUAGCUAGUUGGUAGGGUAAAAGCCUACCAAGGCGACGAUCCAUAGCUGGUCUGCGAGGAUGAUCAGCCACACUGGGACUGAGCCCCGGCCCAGACUCCUCCGGGAGGCAGCAGUGGGGAAUAUUGGACACUGCGAGCAAGCGUGAUCCCGCAAUGCCGCGUGAGUGAUGAAGGCCUUAGGGUUGUAAAGCCCUUUUCCCCGGGAUGAUAAUGACAGUACCGUGAGAAUAAGCACCGGCUAACUCCGUG
rnacentral:rRNA from 1 species